UCAUACUCUAAUUCUCAUAAGCAGAGUGAUAUAUCAGUACAGAGAAGAACUGUUCCAUAUCCCUAAACGGAAUUAAAAAGAGAAAAAAAAAAUCUAAACACUGUAGGACAAGGCUAAGAAAAGAGAAAAUAAACCAGAUUUCUAUAGCUUCCCAUGGGCAAAACACCCAAAUCAACCAAAGAUUCAGGGAAUUUACAGGACUAUCCCUACACACAAAUCCUCUAUUCCUGUGUUUCUACUUCCUUCCCCUCUUUGGGGUAGCCUUCUUCGCCGGAGACUUCACAUUCUUCGCAGGUGCCUUCUUAACCGGCUCCUUUUUGGCAGGUGUUGCCUUUGGUGCAGCUUUCCGACUUGGAGUCGUUCUCGUAGCGGUUUUUGCAACCUUAGCUGUCGUCGUCUUAGCCUUCAGAUUUGGCUUGACCGCAGCCUUGGUUUUGGCAGGAGCAGCCUUAGGUUUAACAGCAGCUUUGGGCUUGGCAGCAGCCGCUGCUUUGGGCUUAGCCUUAGCAACGGGCUUUGCCUUGGCAGCAGGCUUGGCCUUG
rnacentral:misc_RNA from 1 species